AACUGAAAACAUGAAAUAAAAUUUCAUAUUUUUACUUUUCUACUUAUCCCAAAUCUGUCAUCCAUUAACUUUGUUUAUGCUACACUUUGUUGAACCACUUUGCUGUUUAAAGGCCUUUUUUUUAAGUUUAUUUAUUUAUUUUUAGUAAUCUCUACACCCAAUGUGGGGCUUGAACUCACAACCCUGAGAUCAAUCGUCACAUCACAUGCUCUUCCGACUGAGCCAGCCAGGAGCUCCUUAUGAAAUACUACCUUAUUAUAGCCAUCAUAUUGGAUCCAAUGUUAGUCAUCAUGUCUCCUUGGUCUUCUCCAAUCUGUGACAUUUCCUCAAUCUUCCCUUAUUUUUCAUGACACUUUUGAAGAGAACUAGUCAGCUACUUCAAGAAUGCCUCUCAAUUUAGGACACGAUUGGAAACAUUGGUUAUACUACCAAACUUUGACUAGAAUGAUGUAUUUAAGACAUACGUAUGUAGAUAUAAUAGUUAAGAAACUAAGGUUAACUUUGUGGAAUCAAUAAAGCCCCAUGGAAAAAUCAGUCUGGCGCCCUGCUUACCAAGUUCCCAACAGCCUUACCAGGCCUAACUUGAGGAACCCACCUGCACAACCACUUCCUGAAAUAAGACACAACACUUUAAUUAAAUUGAGUUAUUCUCAGGACCAAGAGAUUGGUUCCACUGAAUAUGAAACAAUCUACCAACACAGGACAGGCUCAAACCUAUUUAUACCAUGGGGCACCUGGAUGGCUCAGUCAGUUUAGUACCCAACUCUUGAUUUUGGCUCAGGUCAUGAUU